rnacentral:tRNA from 1 species
GCGUCCUUAGCUCAGCUGGAUAGAGUACCUGCUGGCUGCAAACCAAAGGCGGUCGGAGGUUCGAAUCCUCCAGGACGCGCCA